UGCUCAGAGGCCAACAUGGGCCAAAAUCUAACUCAAGGAAGUGAAGAGAAGGGGGAGUAACCUCAUCUCCUUUGAGAAAGUAGUUCUGCUUUGAUUCGUUUUCUAUGAUGAGGCUCCAUGUAAGAUUCUGCUUGAGAUGUAAGAUACACUACUUUAAAAGUCUGAAGGCUGAUACAAAGUAUUAAAUCAAAAGAUUUACCCUCUGAAGUCAAGGAAAGAAGACAGGCCUGAGCUCUCCUAACGCCCAGGCUAAUUUGUGAGUCAUCAGAGGAAAACAAAUCAAAGGUAGUGUUGAAAGGUAAUUCUGGCAUUUUUGGAUGCCUCCCCAGCAAAGAGCAAGGAUAGCUUUGUUUAAAGAUAUUUGUAAAGCUGCUCUAGGCAGGGAGCAGAUUUGCUUAUUCUCCAGAAUAAUAAAGGUACUUUCCCUCCUUCCUUGGAGGUAAUCCAGGGUAAUAAAGAUAAUAUCUCCCUUUGAGUCAGAAGGCUGAUUUGUUUUCUGAUUAGGAUGAUAAAGAUAAUGUCUCUCUCUGUAGGGGUGGAUGAACAGUUCUACUAGUAGAUCCUUUAAUAGCCUGGUGUUUUCCAAAGCUGAGUUUCCUUACUAUGACAGUGUGUGUGCAGUGUCUCCCUGGGCCUACUUCUGCGUGGCUGCCUCCGAACUGGAGGGGCAAGAGGAACCAACGUGAACAUGAAGCUCAUGCUGUGUGCAGUGCCAUGUGUAAUAAACAGUAAUAAAUACAUUUGGGCUAAUUGUCUCCUUACUGGCUGAAUCUAUGGAAGUUUGGCCAAUGGACCUAGCUGCUGCAAUGAUGGCCGCCGUUCAGGACCUGUUUGGCUCCUUGACAGGUAAAGUCCUUCACCUCAUUUUAGAAUCUUGAUGAAGAGUACCUUGCUUGAAAGAUAAAUUCCCACUCUUACCUAUGUUUUUUACUUUAUAGGACAGCCCUCAGUCAUGUGACAGACUUUAGUAAGAGUAUUCAUAAUAACAUUUGGAUAUUUGUGACAUUUGGGUUAAUGGGCACCCUAUGUACAGCUAUGUUCAAAACAAAACUGUCAUUGUUAAUAUUUUUCUUCUUUCUAUCUUAAGGAGUAUUUUUUAAAAGAUCUAUUCACCAAAGCAAAUUUGGGACCUGAAGUCCUGGUCAACUAAAAACAAUGCUCUGGAGGCUUGGCUGCACCAGUGAAUCACCUGGACAACAUGUGUGCAAAGCAGGUCACUGGGGCCCCUCCCCAGGGAAUCACAUGCAGCCUCCUGUCUACUAACCCUGAGACCCCAGUGGCUGUGCAGUGAGAAGACCCAGCCGCAGGGCGAGACAGGAUGAAGAUGCUUGUGUUAACAGUUCCCAGUGACCUCUCAGCUGACAGUCCAUCCAGCUGAGCCUUCAGAUAAUUACAGAAGAGUCAAUAUCUGUCUGCAACUGUAUGAGGGACUCCAAGGAGAAGUGCCCAAAUGAGCCCUUCCUGAAUUAUGACACGUCACAUUAUUUAUUCGUUCAGAGCAGAAGUUGCAAACUCAAAAGCCAGUGGGGUGGAAUGGUUGAUAAUGGUGAAGAUCAGGAUAUAGGGUGAAGUGUAAUAAAGUAUGUGAGUGAGGAUUUUGUGAAUGCAUUUCAUAGCAGCAUCACUAUAUCCCAAAACAAACCCUUUUCGAGACCUCAGUUUUUUUAUUGCUAUUUAUUUUUAUUUCAUCUCAGUAGUUCUUUUCUUAUAGAAGUCAUAGUUCUCAUAAUGGUUUGUUGUAUGGUAAUGUCUUAAUGUGAAUGCCUUCAACUGAAACACACUUUGCAUAUUAUACCUGUGGGUAAAAUUUUUUACUUCCACCAAAAAAUGUACUCCUGUUUUAUUUCUUACAAAAUCAAUGCAACUAUAAUAAUAAAUGGCAGUUCACAUUUGGUUGUGCAUUAGAGAGAAAACAGUGAGGAUCAUUGGGUUGGAUUGAAAAGGGCAGGCAGCAUCUAAAGGGGAUCUUUUUCCUCAGCUCCUGCUGUGGGUCAAUUGGGAAUGUCAGGAUAUGGGCCAAGUUUUGCAAGACCUUCUGAUUUUUCAUAAGAAAGUGGACAUUUGGUUAAAAAUUUGAGUUCUAAAUAUUAGCAACCAAGUCAAGUUAUAAACAAACUCAUGAGUCAGGCAAAGCAUACUGCAAGCAAUACCCAGCUUGAGGGCUGCGCGUUGGGGACCUUAGUUUAGAGAAUGUGUCUGUAUCAGAAUCUGGAGGUUUAUGAGAUAGUAUUGUAGUUCCAGGCUUUUCUAGGUAAUUAUGACUCAUAUUGUUAUUUGCAGCUAACACUGAGAAAGUAUAGCCAAGGGUAAUUUUUUAGAGACACAGGAGCCUCAAAUAGGGAGGAGACAUUGUUAAGAAGGACCAUGUGGAACGAAUCCAAUGAGGUGUGUACAGAUGGAAAUAAAUGGCACGAGGACCACCUGGACCUCAGUCUGGAAGACAGCAGAUCCUCUCAACCACAUUGGCCAAGGGUUAUUUUCAUAUUGGUGAGGAGGUAAAAAUUGAUAUCAAAUAUGUUGUGAUCUAUUUCCCCCAGAAAAUUAUGUAUGUAUAGGGUAUGUGGUAGAGGCACGAGAGCAGGCUUGGUGCAGCUGAGAUAUUGGACAAGGUCUGAACUUCAGCAUGGGCUGGAGUUGGGAGUAGAUCAAUAAGAUCUUCUAAAUGAAACAGCAUCUCGUGGCUUUCCCUGAAUUGAGUCCAGGACAGUAUGGUAAAUUUUCUUUUGACAGGACCACAGCUAGUUAGUGGACUUUUCCCUGGCUGACCUGGGACAUCUCAUCUCAUCCUUUACCACACCCUGAUUGGUAGAAAUACCAAAACUUUUAAAGGAUAGCCUGGAACUGAGUGUCAUUUUUAAUGAGAGAGCUGCCUUUUUGUUUUUACUGAACUACAAAUGUACUUGUAGUGUUGGACUGCUAUCAGAAAGCCUGGGAAUGCUAUAGAUUGAUCCUUGAAUCUCUGGGAAUUUCCCAGAGAUUAAAGGAUUCUGUUGAUAUGUGAGGGUAGCUCUUGUUAAAUUAAACAUUGAGGCCAGUAGACUGAGGUGGCUGUAAUGCCAUGGUAGCUUACAUAAGCAAAUGAAAAUCUAAGUUUGUAAAUGUUUCAGUGUUAUGAAAUUGAAACCCAAGGACAAUCAAAGACAAAUAGCCAACCAGUCUUUAAACUAUAGCCAAUCAAAUAAUUUCCUUUCUUUGCUUGAACACUUUCUCUUAUAAGUUUUCCCUUGGCUCCUGUCAGUGGAGUGCUCCUAACAUCUUCCGGUUUAGUGCUGCAGAUUUAAACUAAUUUUUGCUCAAAUAAACUCUGAAAAUGUUUAAUAUACCUUAGUUUACCUUUGAACAAACUUUUGAAUGUCUCUACUAGGCCCAAGUAUUAAAGCACUUAAGCAUCAAUAAAUCUAGUCCAUUCAUCUUGAGGAAACUUGGAAUAUUUAUAACAUUUCAAGACCCACUCCCCAUCUCCCAUUGCUAUUUUUGAAUAAACUCAACCAAGAUGUCAUCAAACCCAGUAAAGUCAAGUGUGGAUUGAAAUGUAGGACUUUGGGGUGGGGUUUCUUUAGACAGGGAACUAGAAUAAGGCUAUGGAUACAAGAUUGGACAAUAUUGCAAUAUUGUACACCAUCAAAACCAUAAAGGAAUACAAAGAUCCAAAAUGUCAUAAGGUGAAAAGAAAACAAACAAACAAACAAACAAACAAACCAUCAAAAUGCCAGUAGGUGAAUCAGGAAGAUUGCUAAAUCUGUGGCUACAGAGGCAGGAAAUGAAGUUAGAAUUUGAGGAUUAGAGAAAUGGAGAGGCAGGUAUAGCACGACAGAUAUAAUAUUGGAUCAAAUAAGGAUGGGAUUCAGUGAAAGAAUUAAGAGUGAUUGUAAUUAAUUGCUUGGAACAGUGUGACAAAAUUUUUCCUGGGCUCAGUAGAAAGAUCUGCAGAAAAAUGCUUCCUGAAACUUCAAUUGUAUUUAAAGAUAUUUUACAUUAUAUUACUUACUACAUUUUAGUAAAAUGCAUAUUUUACAUGAAUUUUUAAAGAUGAAACCUAAGACUUCAAAGACAUGUUACUCUUGCCUUGGGCUGCUUUGGGCUAUGCUAUAGCCAUCCAGGGUUUUAUACCUACUUUUUCUCCUUUGCUAUUAUAAAGGAUACUUUGGUGGAAAAGUUGAGAGGUAGACAGAAGAACAUCAAAGGGUGGCCUAAGCUUGCUUUAAUGGGGAAGUAGGUUCAUGGUCACAUGGGUUGGUCAGCUAACUUAAAGGGCCAGGGACAGAACCUGUAUAUCUUUUAUAAUCAUUACAUCAUUACAUCAAUUCUGUCUACUUCAACUACUGAACAUCACUGUCAAAAGUGGUGUUUUUAAACUUAUAAUUGUUUAAUGGGGCAUGAAAUCAACUGAGUGGAGUUAUUACUCAUGCAAAAUAAGUAGAAAAAAUAAUAUUUUUAGUGUUAUUUUGUGAAGAUUUUUUAUAUUUAGGCAAGUGGGUCACAGUGCAAAAUGUAUUUACUGUGGGUUGUGCUAAAAAUCAUCACUAAUCUAAAAUGUUUUUAGUUCAUCAAGACAUUAGUAAGUAUCUUAUAGAAAAAAAGGGGUUUUUGCUUGAAGAAAUUUGACCUUUUACACAAAGAUUAAAGGUGAAAAGUUCACUGGAAUCAAUUCUAAUGUGUGUGUGGAGGCUCCCCAUACCAACAAGGAAUUCUUGUACAAUUCACCUUGACUU